CAGGGUAGACGAGCGGCGGACGGGUGAGUAAUAGUCUAGGGAAACUAGCCUGAUGGAGGGGGAUAACUACUGGAAACGGUAGCUAAUACCGCAUAACGUCGCAAGACAAAGAGGGGGACUUCGGGCCUCUUGCCAUCAGAUGUGCCCAGAUGGGAUUAGCUAGUAAGUGGGGUAACGGCUCACCUAGGCGACGAUCCCUAGCUGGUCUGAGAGGAUGACCAGCACACUGGAACUGAGACACGGUCCAACUCCUACGGGAGGCAGCAGUGGGGAAUAUUGCACAAUGGGCGCAAGCCUGAUGCAGCCAUAGCCGCGUGUAUGAAGAAGGCCUUCGGGUUGUAAAGUACUUUCAGCGGGGACGGAGGGUGUUAGUAGGUUAAUAACCACAGCAAAUGACGUUACCCGCAGAAGAAGCACCGGCUAACUCCGUGCCAGCAGCCGCGGUCAAUACGGAGGGUGCAAGGCGUUAAUCGGAAUUAACUGGGCGUACAGCGCACGCAGGCGGCCUGUCAAAGUCGGAUNGUGAAAUCCCCGGGGCUCAACUGGGAACUUGGAUUCAGAAAUUAGGCAGAGCUAAAGUCUUAGUAAAAGGGAGGGUAA
rnacentral:rRNA from 1 species